rnacentral:rRNA from 1 species
GACAGAGGUGGCAAGCGUUGUUCGGAUUUACUGGGCGUAAAGAGUGCGUAGGUGGUGAGGUAAGACCUGUGGGAAAGACCUGAGCUUAACCCAGGAAGGUCGCAGGUGACUGCCUCGCUUGAGGACGGGAGAGGAGAGCGGGAAUUCCCGGUGUAGCGGUGAAAUGCGUAGAGAUCGGGAAGAAGGCCGGUGGCGAAGGCGGCUCUCUGGAAGCGUUCCUGACACUGAGGCACGAAAGCGUGGGGAGCAAACAGGG